UGGAGCAUGUGGUUUAAUUCGAAGAUACACGAAGAACCUUACCUGGCCUUGACAUGGUAGGAACCUUAAGAGAUUAGGGGGUGCUAGCUUGCUAGAACCCUACACACAGGUGCUGCACGGCUGUCGUCGGCUCGUGUCGUGAGAUGUUGGGUUAAGUCCCGCAACGAGCGCAACCCUCGUCCUUAGUUGCUAACAGUUCGGCUGAGCACUCUAGGGAGACUGCCUUCGCAAGGAGGAGGAAGGUGAGGACGACGUCAAGUCAUCAUGGGCCCUUACGGCCAGGGCUACACACGUGCUACAAUGGGGCGUACAGAGAGCUGCGAUACCGCGAGGUGGAGCCAAUCUCUUAAAGCGUCUCUCAGUUCGGAUUGUUCUCUGCAACUCGAGAACAUGAAGCUGGAAUCACUAGUAAUCGCAGAUCAGCUAUGCUGCGGUGAAUACGUUCCCGGGUCUU
rnacentral:rRNA from 1 species